GCAUUAACGAUGUAUGUCAACAUGGGAGUAAAAGGGGCUGCAACCAAAUGAGCUUUGUUGAUUUCGGGUUCCCUUUUGAUCCCUUUGCAUUCUAUGAAAUUCUAUGGUUAUUCCUCGCUACUGAAUAUGCUGAAUUUGUUGAGUCACAACAGAAGAUUAUCUUCUGAAGGAUAGAGAUUAAGUUACUCACUAUACUAAUUUCUUUUCUUGUGCCUUUUCAUUCU
rnacentral:lncRNA from 1 species